UUUAUUUUUAUUUUUAAUGUUUGUAUUACUUCCCCAACCCCCUCUAACCAUUUAGAGUGAACAAUCCAAUAGCAACACACAUUUUUGGAGAGUCUGCUACCUGCCAAGCACUGUGACAGACUUGGAGGGUAUAGCUGUAAAGAAAAUGGAGACAAUUCAUAUCCUCACAAAGAUUAUGGUCUGGGAGGAGAAGGAAACAGGCAGACAUUAACUAAUAAUUGCACAGUUAAUUACUUGUUAUUGUGGUAAAUGCUACAAAAAGAUAGGGGGCUGUGUGAGUAGCUCACAGAAGGCCCUUACCUUGUCUUGGGGCCCAGGGUGGGGUUCCUUCAGGAAGUGGAAAUUAAACUGAGCCCUAUAGGGUGAGUAGGAAUUAGCAGGUGAAGGAAGUAGGGCCAGGUAGGGGCACUAGAAGGACGGUUGAUGCGGCUGAACAUCGGCUUCAUUCUUUCACUAAUAUACGCUGUGAUGGAAGUCCUGAAAUUAUUUCCUUAAGAUAAAUUCUUGGAACUAAAGUUGCCAGGUCAAGUGUGUGCAGGUCUGCCCUCCCUUCUUCUUUCUUAACUUUCUGCUAUGAAUUACAUUGCUGGAAGGGUGGUAGUUAGGUGUCUAUGGAAUUAGAGGUGCCCUGCUACUCUGUUGCCUUCUUCUUGAGAUGGCUCUGGUGGGAUUCCAGGAGCCUUGGAAAGAAGACCCUGUGGCAAGUCUUUGGGGGCUGAGGCUGGUGGACAGUUGCCCCGCCACAAGCAGGAGGGUAGCCAGAGGUCUGCACAUUCACAUCAGGUGCCCAUAUCCCUGAAGUGUAGGCAAAAAUAUCCUUCUUUUCUCUUAGUUUUGCCUUACAUGUAACAGUCAGAGCUCUGUUAGGUUCUAAUUUCUAUUGCUUUUCCAAGGACUCCAAUGAACACACUAUUAUAGUGUCUGGGCAAAGGCACUAUUGAAAUACGAAGUGUUGCUGAAAUUAUGGCCAUAUUUCAGAAGCAGAAGCCACCAAGAAGCGGCUAGCUAUGAACUCACGCUGCCUCAACUAUGCCAGCAAGAGGAUUCUUGCAUCCUGCCUGGACCCCCUUUUAACUCAGUUCUGAAUCCAGGCACCUGAAUGAAGGAAUUUCAGUCAUACCCGGAACUUCAAGGGAGUCUGCAAAGCCAUGUGGACUCUCUGUGUUGAAGACUGAAGAGCAAGGAGAUGGAAGGAACCAGGGUCUCUGAAUCACUGCUUGGAGUACAGUUGCCUAAAGAUCAGUUACUUGAAAUUUUAUGUGAGUCAGAAAUAAACGUCAAUUAUGUUCAAUCUUUGAGAUUGUUAAUGUAGUACAAUCAUGAUAUUCAAAAGUAUUAGUAACUGCUUGUUGUUACAUGGUACAAAUAUGGGCAGUGUCUGCUAAGGUAAGAGGAGUAGGGAAUGGAAUGAUUUGGGGGCACUCUGGGGAAGAGAUUUUAAUGGAGAAGAUAGGUUUUUGUGUUCUUAAUAACAAUAAAAUGAAAAUCAUUUUUCCCAAUUUAGCCGAAAAGUUUUGGGAUGUGCUAGAAACAAACUGCUGUAUGAGAAGGAGGGAGUGGUAAAAAUCUCUGUAAGAUGACCAAAGUCUGAGCUAAGGCAGUGGUGAUAAAAUUGGAGAUUAUUUAGAAAAAGUAAAGGUACAGGCAACAGGAUAUCUGGAAUAAAUGAAAAGGACUGAAAAAAGAAGUGC